rnacentral:rRNA from 1 species
GUAUGAACGGCAAAACCUCUUCCAACUGUCUCCCCUCCCAUCCUUUUAAAUUUCCUCCUGUGUGAAGAAGCACAGAUAUAUCAGAAAGACGAGAAGACCCUGUCGAGCUUUAACCACUAAGUGGGCCUUACCCUUUUCAGGCACCACCUAAAGGUUUUGGUUGGGGCAACCAUGGAGAAAAAAGAUCCUCCAGAACAAAUAGAAGAAAGCUUUUCACUAUUUUACGACUGAGAACCAGGAACUGGUAUUCGGAAAAAGUUACCGCAGGGAUAACAGCGUAAUCUCCUCUAAGAGUCCUUAUUGACGAGGAGGUUUGCGACCUCGAUGUUGGAUUGGGGCCCCCUUAGGGUGCAGAAGCUCUAAACGGUUAGACUGUUCGUCUAUUAAAGCCCUACAUGAUCUGA